rnacentral:rRNA from 1 species
UACGUAGGUGGCAAGCGUUAUCCGGAUUUAUUGGGUUUAAAGGGAGCGUAGGCGGCUUAAUAAGUCAGUGGUGAAAGGUAGCAGCUUAACUGUUUUACAUGCCAUUGAUACUGUUGAGCUGGAGUUGUUAGAAGGCAGAUAGAAUUCCUGAUGUAGCGGUGAAAUGCUUAGAUAUCAGGAGGAAUACCGAUUGCGAAGGCAGUCUGCUGCAUACAUACUGACGCUGAGGCUCGAAAGUGCGGGGAUCAAACAGG